UACGUAGGGUGCGAGCGUUAAUCGGAAUUACUGGGCGUAAAGCGUGCGCAGGCAGUUUGUUAAGACAGAUGUGAAAUCCCCGGGCUUAACCUGGGAACUGCAUUUGUGACUGGCAAGCUAGAGUAUGGCAGAGGGGGGUAGAAUUCCACGUGUAGCAGUGAAAUGCGUAGAGAUGUGGAGGAAUACCGAUGGCGAAGGCAGCCCCCUGGGCCAAUACUGACGCUCAUGCACGAAAGCGUGGGGAGCAAACAGG
rnacentral:rRNA from 1 species